GGAAGGUCCAGAGCUUAUAGCAUCAGUUGGGAACUCAGGAAGCGGAGACAAUUCCUGUUCAUUCUUGCCUGACCUAGGGCAAACCACAUACACACAACAACUUGGAAGUGUUUGGAUGCCUACCUCCCACUUAGCCAAGCAAGAAUGAAAAUCUGUGCCCUAUCAGGAAAACACAGAUGGCUGUAUAGAUUUGAAAAGCAGAAUCAAGAGCGGAAACUAAUGAAACAAGGAAUAAGGAGUUGAAAUUCAUCUCAGUUUUGAUCCUAAAGUGACCACCAGACUGUUUUUGUAAGAUUCUGCCACUGCUGCAGUGAUCAGAGAAAUCAACUGAAACCAUCUUAGUUUUGAAGAGAGAGGCAUCUGCAAGAAGAACUGAGUCUCCUUCCUUCACUUACAUUGCCAAAGGUUUUAGCAAAACAGUGGAAUA